GAUGAACGCUGGCGGCGUGCCUAAUACAUGCAAGUCGAGCGAACGGACGAGAAGCUUGCUUCUCUGAUGUUAGCGGCGGACGGGUGAGUAACACGUGGAUAACCUACCUAUAAGACUGGGAUAACUUCGGGAAACCGGAGCUAAUACCGGAUAAUAUUUUGAACCGCAUGGUUCAAAAGUGAAAGACGGUUUUGCUGUCACUUAUAGAUGGAUCCGCGCUGCAUUAGCUAGUUGGUAAGGUAACGGCUUACCAAGGCAACGAUGCAUAGCCGACCUGAGAGGGUGAUCGGCCACACUGGAACUGAGACACGGUCCAGACUCCUACGGGAGGCAGCAGUGGGGAAUCUUCCGCAAUGGGCGCAAGCCUGACGGAGCAACGCCGCGUGAGUGAUGAAGGUCUUCGGAUCGUAAAACUCUGUUAUUAGGGAAGAACAUAUGUGUAAGUAACUGUGCACAUCUUGACGGUACCUAAUCAGAAAGCCACGGCUAACUACGUG
rnacentral:rRNA from 1 species